UAUAAGAACAAAUCUUACUUGACAUUGCUUUAGAAAGUUUUCUGAAACCAUUAAAAUGAGGAAAGUCUUCUUAAUCUCCUUGGCGCUUGCCCUUUUGCUUCUUGCAAUCAGCGUAGAUGCAAUUCCUAAUUUCCUUGAGUGCGUUAAGAAAGGAAAUAGCGAUAACAGCGCCAGGAGAGCAGUUAUAUCAACGUCAGUUUUCUCUAAAACUGACGAUGGUUCAAAGGAUAUUGUGACACGUUGUCUAGCUAGUCUUGGAAAGAAUUAAUGUAGAGAAUUAAUCGUUUUUUCCUUGUCCUAAUGAAAGACAAUGAAUUUGAAGUUUAAAAAAUAAUAAAAAGAAUUGGAGAAAAUUA